rnacentral:rRNA from 1 species
UUGAACGCUGGCGGCGUGCCUUACACAUGCCAGUCGAACGGUAACGGGCCUUCGGGUGCCGACGAGUGGCGAACGGGUGAGUAAUACAUCGGAACGUGCCCGAUCGUGGGGGAUAACGAGGCGAAAGCUUUGCUAAUACCGCAUACGAUCUACGGAUGAAAGCAGGGGACCGCAAGGCCUUGCGCGGACGGAGCGGCCGAUGGCAGAUUAGGUAGUUGGUGGGAUAAAAGCUUACCAAGCCGACGAUCUGUAGCUGGUCUGAGAGGAUGAUCAGCCACACUGGGACUGAGACACGGCCCAGACUCCUACGGGAGGCAGCAGUGGGGAAUUUUGGACAAUGGGCGCAAGCCUGAUCCAGCCAUGCCGCGUGCAGGAUGAAGGCCUUCGGGUUGUAAACUGCUUUUGUACGGAACGAAAAGCCUUCUUUUAAUACAGGAGGGUCAUGACGGUACCGUAAGAAUAAGCACCGGCUAACUACGUG